CCUACGGGAGGCAGCAGUGAGGAAUAUUGGUCAAUGGGCGAGAGCCUGAACCAGCCAAGUAGCGUGCAGGACGACGGCCCUAUGGGUUGUAAACUGCUUUUAUGCGGGGAUAAAACGCGGGACGUGUCCCGCCUUGCAGGUACCGCAUGAAUAAGGACCGGCUAAUUCCGUGCCAGCAGCCGCGGUAAUACGGAAGGUCCGGGCGUUAUCCGGAUUUAUUGGGUUUAAAGGGAGCGUAGGCCGCUUUGUAAGCGUGUUGUGAAAUUUGCCGGCUCAACCGGUAACUUGCAGCGCGAACUGCAGAGCUUGAGUGUGCGCAGCGUUGGCGGAAUUCGUCGUGUAGCGGUGAAAUGCUUAGAUAUGACGAAGAACUCCGAUUGCGAAGGCAGCUGACGGGAGCACUACUGACGCUGAAGCUCGAAAGUGCGGGUAUCGAACAGGAUUAGAUACCCUGGUAGUCCGCACGGUAAACGAUGGAUGCCCGCUGUUUGCACAUAGUUGCAAGCGGCCAAGCGAAAGCGUUAAGCAUCCCACCUGGGGAGUACGCCGGCAACGGUGAAACUCAAAUGAAUUGACGGGGA
rnacentral:rRNA from 1 species